rnacentral:rRNA from 1 species
AAACCAACAGGGAUUGCCUUAGUAGCGGCGAGUGAAGCGGCAAAAGCUCAAAUUUGAAAUCUGGCGCCUGCGGUGUCCGAGUUGUAAUUUGAAGAUUGUAACCUUGGGGUUGGCUCUUGUCUAUGUUUCUUGGAACAGGACGUCACAGAGGGUGAGAAUCCCGUGCGAUGAGAUGCCCAAUUCUAUGUAAGGUGCUUUCGAAGAGUCGAGUUGUUUGGGAAUGCAGCUCUAAGUGGGUGGUAAAUUCCAUCUAAAGCUAAAUAUUGGCGAGAGACCGAUAGCGAACAAGUACAGUGAUGGAAAGAUGAAAAGAACUUUGAAAAGAGAGUGAAAAAGUACGUGAAAUUGUUGAAAGGGAAGGGUUUGAGAUCAGACUCGAUAUUUUGUGAGCCUUGCCUUCGUGGCGGGGUGACCCGCAGCUUAUCGGGCCAGCAUCGGUUUGGGCGGUAGGAUAAUGGCGUAGGAAUGUGACUUUACUUCGGUGAAGUGUUAUAGCCUGCGUUGAUGCUGCCUGCCUAGACCGAGGACUGCGAUUUUAUCAAGGAUGCUGGCAUAAUGAUCCCAAAACCGC